CGGCGCACGGGUGAGCAACACGUGGGUAACCUACCCCGAGAUCCGGGACAACAUUCCGAAAGGAGUGCUAAUACCUGAUAAGACCACGGGAGCUGCGGCUCCUGGGGUAAAAGACGGCCUCUGCUUGCAAGCUGUCGUCUUGGGAGGGGCCUGCGCACCAUUAGCUAGUUGGUAGGGUAAUGGCCUACCAAGGCUAUGAUGGUUAGCUGGUCUUAGUGGAUGACCAGCCACACUGGAACUGACACACGGUCCAGACUCCUACGGGAGGCAGCAGUGGGGAAUAUUGCGCAAUGGGGGAAACCCUGACGCAGCGACGCCGCGUGGGUGAUGAAGGCCUUCGGGUCGUAAAACCCUGUCAAGUGGAGCGAAAAAGUCCGGGGUGAAUAAUCCCGGGCCUUGACGGUACCACCUGAGGAAGCACCGGCUAACUCCGUGCCAGCAGCCGCGGUAAGACGGAGGGUGCGAGCGUUGUUCGGAAUUACUGGGCGUAAAGCGCGUGUAGGCGGUCUGAUAGGUCGGGUGUGAAAGCCCUCGGCCCAACCGAGGAACUGUGCCCGAAACCACCAGACUAGAGUGCGGGAGGGGGAAGUGGAAUUCCCAGUGUAGAGGUGAAAUUCGUAGAUAUUGGGAGGAACACCGGUGGCGAAAGCGACUUCCUGGACCGACACUGACGCUGAGACGCGAAAGCGUGGGGAGCAAACAGGAUUAGAUACCCUGGUAGUCCACGCCGUAACGAUGGGUGCUAGGUGUUGUGGGUAUUGACCCCUACAGUGCCGCAGCUAACGCAAUAAGCACCUCGCCUGGGAAGUACGGCCGCAAGGUUAAAACUCAAGGAAUUGACGGGGGCCCGCACAGCGGUGGAGUAUGUGGUUUAAUUCG
rnacentral:rRNA from 1 species